UGUUUAAAAGUUACUAAAAGAGAACUUUCAAAGUUCUAUAAAAUAACAUAAUGCAA
rnacentral:tRNA from 1 species